AUAUUUUGUGUGUGUUUGUGUGUAUGUAUGUUUCUUUGUAUGUAUGUCUUGUGUGUGUGUCUUUGUAUGUCUUGUGUGUGUGUGUCUGUCUGUAUGUCAUGUGUGUGUCUAUGUAUGUAUGUCUUGUGUGUGUGUGUGUGUGUCUAUAUGUAUAUAUGUGUGUAUGUAUGUGUGUCUUGUCUUUGUAUGUAUGUGUGUAUGUGUCUAUGUAUGUCUUAUGUGUGUGUCUUUGUAUGUGUACCUGUCUGUAUGUGUCUUGUGUGUGUGUGUGUCUGUAUUUAUGUGUGCGUGUGUCUGUAUGUAUGUGUGCCUGUCUGUAUGUGUCUUGUGUGUGCGUGUGUAUGUCUGUAUGUGUGCCUGUCUGUUUUUCUGUAGGUGUAUGUAUGUAUGUAUGUAUGUGUCUUUUUAUGUGUGUGUGUGUGUGUGUGUAUGUAUGUGUGCCUGUCUGUUAUAGUGG